UAUGCUGCGGGUGUGGCCCUAAAAAGAAAAAAAGAACAAGAAAGACCUCGUUAAUAAUUUUUAUAUUGAUUAUAUGUAGGAAUGUUCGUAUUUUAGAUACAUGAGUUAAACCGUGUUAUUUAAAUCGAUUUAACCCAUUUCUUUUCCUUUUUCAAAUACGUCUACCAGAACCAUCUUAAUUACAGAAGAUAUUCCUCUUGGACGGUGCUGCUCUAGGCACGGCCCUCUCUAACCCAGCCAGCCUGGCAGGGCACCUUGCUAAGCCCCACCUGACCCCACGCAGCUGGAGCCGAGACUCCACAUGGCUGGCGUCUGACAGCUGGGCAGCAGAUGUGCUGGGAGCACCUUACUGGAGCAGGUGUUCUCCAGGGGCUGGACUGGGCAGCAAAUAGGACAGAUGGCACUGCCCUCCCAGAGUUGCAUGCCAGAGGAGGCAAUAAGAUAAUGUGUGUUUUGUCAUUCCUGUGAUUCAAAUAAAAUGAGGCAAAGUGGCAGA